rnacentral:tRNA from 1 species
UCCCUUGUAGCUCAGUCGGUAAAGAGUCUGCCUGCAAUGCAGGAGACCUGGGUUCAAUACCUGGUCAGGAAG